GUCAACAGUAUCGUAUCUUAUAUUUUAGCUUUCUUAGCAGUUUUCAUAUGUUUUUCUUUUGAAAAGAAAAUUCAAAAUUAUAAGGUACAAUGAGUGAUCAAACAAUUCUUACUGCUACAUCUUAUUUCCAAAAAGAGCUUGAUGUAAAUAGAAAACUCUUAGUAAAAUUUGAUUCGGAAUUGGAACAGUGCAGAAAGCAGUUAACUGCAGUUAAGGUACAAGUGUCAAUACUCCAGCUUCAGAAUAAAGUGAUGCAGACUACUUUCCACCGGUUACUGGAUUUAAGGAGAGUGCUAAAAGAAAAAAGUCACAGUUGUUGAAAUCCUGCGAGCCGCGAGGAGUAAACAGAAAAGACUCUUGCGGUGGCGACCCCAACGCGGAACCCGGCUGUGGCUGGAACUGCGGCCGAAAAUGCGCAGACGUUAAAGUCAAAGUAUACUGUCCGAGGAUCUACUGCCCUACAACGUGCCAAUGCAAACCCGGCUUCUACUAUAACGACCAAACUUCAAGCUGUGUGGCUCCUCAGGAUUGCCCUCCAAAUUCAAACGAAUAAAUAAGUUAGUCCAAAAUAUAAAACCGAGUUAUUUGAUUAACUGUCACUCAUAAAUACAUAAAUU
rnacentral:misc_RNA from 1 species